rnacentral:rRNA from 1 species
CAAUAGCGUAUAUUAAAGUUGUUGCAGUUAAAAAGCUCGUAGUUGGAUUUCGGGGCAGCCUGGCUGGUCCGCCGCAAGGCGAGUACUGGUCAGCCGCCCUUCCUCUCGAAAGCCCCGACUGCUCUUCGUUGCAGUGGUCGGGUAGUUCGGGACGUUUACUUUGAAAAAAUUAGAGUGUUCAAGGCAGGCCUACGCCUGAAUACAUUAGCAUGGAAUAAUGGAAGAGGACCUCGGUCCUAUUUUGUUGGUUUCCAGGGCCGAAGUAAUGAUUAAGAGGGACAGUUGGGGGCAUUCGUAUUUAAUUGUCAGAGGUGAAAUUCUUGGAUUUAUGAAAGACGAACUAGUGCGAAAGCAUUUGCCAAGGAUGUUUUCAUUAA